rnacentral:rRNA from 1 species
GACGUAGGGUGCAAGCGUUGUCCGGAUUUAUUGGGCGUAAAGAGCUCGUAGGCGGCUUGUUGCGUCGACUGUGAAAACCCGCGGCUUAACCGCGGGCUUGCAGUUGAUACGGGCAGGCUAGAGUUCGGUAGGGGAGACUGGAAUUCCUGGUGUAGCGGUGAAAUGCGCAGAUAUCAGGAAGAACACCCGUGGCUAAGGCGGUUCUCUAGUACGGUACUGACGCUGAGACGCGAAAGCGUGGGGAGCGAACAGG